rnacentral:rRNA from 1 species
UGGGGAAUAUUGGACAAUGGGCGCAAGCCUGAUCCAGCCAUACCGCGUGGGUGAAGAAGGCCUUCGGGUUGUAAAGCCCUUUUGUUGGGAAAGCGGUACCCAAAGAAUAAGCACCGGCUAACUUCGUGCCAGCAGCCGCGGCAAUACGAAGGGUGCAAGCGUUACUCGGAAUUACUGGGCGUAAAGCGUGCGUAGGUGGUCGUUUAAGUCCGUUGUGAAAGCCCUGGGCUCAACCUGGGAACUGCAGUGGAUACUGGGCGACUAGGUGUGGUAGAGGGUAGCGGAUUUCCUGGUGUAGCAGUGAAAUGCGUAGAGAUCAGGAGGAACAUCCAUGGCGAAGGCAGCUACCUGGACCAACACUGACACUGAGGCACGAAAGCGUGGGGAGCAAACAGGAUUAGAUACCCCAGUAGU